CCCUUAGAUGUUCUGGGCCGCACGCGUGCUACACUGAGUGGAUCAGCGGGUCAGGUUGCGCGAAAGUGUUUCCUAAUCUUUAAAUCCGCUCGUGAUGGGGAUUGACGGUUGCAAUUUUCCGUCAUGAACGAGGAAUACCUUGUAAGCACGGGUCAUCAUCCCGCGCUGAAUACGUCCCUGCCCUUUGUACACACCGCCCGUCGCUCCUACCGAUUGAGUGGUCCGGUGAGGCUUUGGGAUCUGGGCGGAAAGAGCGUUUCGCUGUUUCUGCCCGGAAAACUCAGUCGAACCUUAUCAUUUAGAGGAAGGAGAAGUCGUAACA
rnacentral:rRNA from 1 species